rnacentral:misc_RNA from 1 species
GAUGAAGAACGUAGCGAAAUGCGAUACUUGGUGUGAAUUGCAGAAUCCCGUGAACCAUCGAGUCUUUGAACGCAAGUUGCGCCCGAAGCCACUAGGCCGAGGGCACGCCUGCCUGGGCGUCACACGCCGUUGCCCCCCCAUCUACUCCUUCGGGAUUGCGGGGGGGCGGAUGAUGGCCUCCCGUGAGCCUAGCCGCGCGGUUGGCAUAAAUACCAAGUCCUCGGCGACGCACGCCACGACAAUCGGUGGUUGCGAAACCUCGGUUGCCCGUCGUGUGCGUUCGUCGCGCAUCGAGGGCUCGAAAAAAUGCUCGGCUCCGGCUGGGCUUUCAACGCGACCCCAGGUCAGGCGGGGUUACCCGCUGAAUUUAAGCAUAUCAAUAAGCGGAGGA